rnacentral:rRNA from 1 species
GAUGAACGCUAGCUACAGGCUUAACACAUGCAAGUCGAGGGGCAGCAUGGACUCAGCUUUGCUGAGUUUGAUGGCGACCGGCGCACGGGUGAGUAACGCGUAUCCAACCUGCCCUUUACUCCGGGAUAGUCUCCUGAAAGGGAGUUUAAUACCGGAUGUGUUUGUUUUUCCGCAUGGGAGCGACAAAUAAAGAUUAAUUGGUAAAGGAUGGGGAUGCGUCCCAUUAGCUUGUUGGCGGGGUAACGGCCCACCAAGGCAACGAUGGGUAGGGGUUCUGAGAGGAAGGUCCCCCACAUUGGAACUGAGACACGGUCCAAACUCCUACGGGAGGCAGCAGUGAGGAAUAUUGGUCAAUGGGCGAGAGCCUGAACCAGCCAAGUAGCGUGAAGGACGACGGCCCUACGGGUUGUAAACUUCUUUUAUAAGGGAAUAAAGUUCGCCACGUGUGG